rnacentral:rRNA from 1 species
UACGUAGGGGGCGAGCGUUGUCCGAAGUUACUGGGCGUAAAGCGCGCGUAGGCGGGGAAGAAAGUCUACUGUGAAAGCCCGGAGCUCAACUCCGGAGGGUCGGUAGAUACUUUUUCUCUUGAAGCUGCUAGGGGGAGAUGGAAUUACCGGUGUAGCGGUGAAAUUCGUAGAUAUCGGGAGGAACACCAGUGGCGAAGGCGGCGACCUGGACGGACA